CGGCGCCCCGGGCGUAGGCGCCGGGCAGGACUGCGUGAGCACUAGCUGCUCCUGCCCUGGUCGGAGAGGGAGAGGGUGAGUGCGGGGCUGCGGCGGGACCGGCCGGAUCGGGCUGGCGCCAGGCGGAGACCCAAGCAGCAGGCGGCCGGGACGGCCUGGCGAGGCCCCUGAGGGGCGGGGCCGGAGGUGGAUGGGCCCGGGGCAGCGCUCUCUCCGUCCCUGCGCGGCGCCGGGCCGCUUGCUCCAGCUCCGUCUCCUCUGGAUUCUGCCCAUCCCCUAGGAAGGGUCCCACAGAAGGAAAGAGAAGGCAAUGGCUGCUCGGCCUCAGCCACUGGGAACUCAGGGCAUCAGCUUUCCAAACCAAAUGUGAGUUCUCAGCUGGAACUGGAGGAACUGAGCCAGGUGACAAAAGAACUUCCAGCGUGCCUCUCUCCAGGUCUGCUUUUUUCCAGGUUUUCUUCGAUGUUACUGCCAGAUUAAGUGACCAUUUAGUCUUCUUAUCCUGUCCAAAAUCAAGACAAGAAAGCGUUGAGGACGGGGUGCUGUAUUCGGCUCUUGCCCAGCCACCAUGACUCACUCCUCAUAACCCUAUGGGGUAAGUACUGUCAGCCCCUCUCCAAGUGCAAGAGAUGGGCUCAGAGGGGGAAUGACAUGCCAGAAGUUGAACACAGGAUUCUUAUUUUGUUUUGUUUGUUUUUGCCUUCGGGUUUAAUGCUAAUUCUAAAAAAAAAAAAAAAAAAAAAAAAAAAUCCUAACUUUCUUUCCUUGCCUUGCUGUCCCUUCUUAUUUCCAAGUAUCUAGCAAAAAUUGAACUUCUACAUCCUGGCCCAACUUUCCUUUUAAAUUUUUUUUUUUUUUUUACAUUUUAUUUAUUUUUGAGAGAGAGACAGAACGCAAGCUGGGGAGAGGCAGAGAGAGGGAGAGAGGGAGACACAGAAUCCGAAGCAGGCUCCACGCUCUGAGCUGUCAGCACAGGGCCCGACGUGGGGCUCGAACCCAUGAACCAUGAGAUCAUGACCUGAGCCAAAGUCAGAUGCUUAACCGACUGAGCCACCCAGGCACCCCCCAACUUUCCUUCUAGAUGAUCGUUUUCCUUUUUUGUACUAAGGUUUUCAUCUAUACAGUUGCUACUUCAUCAUUAGAUUUUGCCUCUUAGAAAAGCUGAGUAGAAAAUGUAAAGACAGAAAUGCUGUUCCUAAAGACAGCAUUAUUGCUAGUAAACUUGUUAAUGUUGAAAUAGAUGGGAAUUAUUAGUAAUAUGGAAAGCAGUGAAUUUUUAGCCUCUAAUCAGUGGUCAUUAGACUUAGCUCCGUUGGUGAUCAGUUUUGAAGGAAACAAAUAAGAACAUGUGUGAAGUAUUAGAAAUCUAUCAUCAAAGAUUAUGUCUAUAAAAUAAGAAACUGGGAUUCUGUAAUAUUUUAAGAUCUCCAGGAAGCUACCCUUUACUACCCCUAAACAUAGAAACUUAUUAUUUGUGUUUUAUACACGACUUUGUAUCAUUCUCAGAAAUGUGCCGUGUGCGCGCAUACGUCUGCGUGUGUAAACACAUGUACACAUACACACAGAAUUUAUAUACUGUUACAGAAUCCGUAUUUACCUUCAUGUUUAGUACAAAUGCAUUAUCUGUGCCUCCGUUAGUAGGAAAACUAAUCUAAAAGACCAUAAAAAGUGUAGGAAUAUCUAUAGUUCAUUGAUCCUCAUACGGGGCAGGCCCACCCCUGCCUCAGGACCUCUGCACUGGUGGUUCCUUCUGUGUGGGAUGCUCUUCCUUCAAUAGUCCUGUGGCUCCCUCCUUAGCCCCUAAAGUCUUGGCUUCAGUGUCCCCUUUUCAUUGUGGCCUUUCCUGAAAACUCUAUACAAAAUUGUAAACCUUUCCCCUCACUCAUCAAGUUCCCUGUUUCCAUUUUAUUGCUUUUCUUUUUUCCAUAAGGUAUGCCAAUAAACUCCUAAGUAUUUUACUUAUUUACUAUAUUGACUGUCCUUCUUCCUCUCACGAAAACAUAAGUUUCCUAAGGGCACAAAUAUGUUUUGUUCAUUAUUAUAUCCUUAGCACCCUAAUCAGCAUUUGGCUCAAUAAAUAUUUCUUGUAGGACUGAUUAAUCAUGUUCAGAGGAUCAAUCUGGCUGCUAUAUGCGAAUGCACUGCAGAGUAGGAAGUCCAGUCAGGUGAAAAGCCAAAUAGUCUGGUUGAGUGGAAGGAGUAGCUUAACUACUACAUAGGGGAUAGAAGAUAAAAAGAAAUCGACUUGCCCUAGGAAGAGCGAGACCUGCUGCCCAAGUGCUAUACCCACCCCAAUUCUCUGCAGGCUCUUGGCCUCUGCUGUGGCCACUGUCAGCCUUAAAGACUGAAGGAUCUAUAUUCUCCCAAACCCUUUGGUCCUAGGGACUCUUGUUCAUGUCCUGAUGAGUACCAAAAUUAUAUAAAUCCUAUAACUAGACAUUCUAAGAUCAUAAGAGAGUAUGAGCUAUCACUUGAAAGGCCUGUUUAGGAAAAAAAGGAAAGGAAGAGAGAGCUGUAUAUUGUUUCACAGGAAAUAAUAAUGGUAAUGAUAACAGCUAACAAUCAAAGAACUCUUAUCCUGGCCAGCCAUAUCGCUGUGCACAUUACAGGACCCUUAUUUAAUGAGGUAGCAAAAUAGCAAGCAUCUGAAACCUCAUCCAAUCUUGGAAGAGCUGCAAUGGGUUUGUUUUUUUUUUUUUUUUUUUUUUAGUUUAUUCAUUUAAUUUGAGAGAGAGAGAGAAUUCCAAACAGACUCCACACUGUUAGCACAGAGCCCGAUGUGUGGCUUGAACUCACAAACUGAGAUCAUGACCAGAGCUGAAGUCAAGAGUCGCUCGCUCAACCGACUGAGACACCCAGGUGCCCUGAAAAAGCGACAGUUUUUGAUCCUUAGUGCUCCAGUCCCAACUCCUCAACGUUUCACUAAUUCUGAGUAAAGCUACCCUAACAAUUUUGUUUCCAGGGAGACAGUUGUGAGAUCUGGGAAAAAUAAAAAGUUCCUCCCCUCUAAGUUGCCUAAUGUAUUGGUCACACUUUGGGAGCAAUAUUAAAUAGUAAUCAUCCUUUCCUUGAUGGUGUUGUUAGUAUGAAUUGUAGUAGGUUUUUUUUUUUUUUUUAAUGUUUAUUUUUGAGAGACAGAGA
rnacentral:lncRNA from 1 species